UACAGAGGGGGCAAGCGUUGUUCGGAAUUACUGGGCGUAAAGGGCUUGUAGGCGGCCAACUAAGUCCGACGUGAAAUCCCCAGGCUUAACCUGGGAACUGCGUCGGAUACUGGAUGGCUUGAAUUCGGGAGAGGGAUGCAGAAUUCCAGGUGUAGCGGUGAAAUGCGUAGAUAUCUGGAGGAAUACCGGUGGCGAAGGCGGCAUCCUGGACCGACAUUGACGCUGAGGAGCGAAAGCUAGGGGAGCAAACGGG
rnacentral:rRNA from 1 species